UACGUAGGGGGCAAGCGUUGUCCGGAUUUAUUGGGCGUAAAGCGCGUGUAGGCGGUUUGGUAGGUCCGCUGUGAAAACUCGCGGCUCAACCUCGAGACGCCGGUGGAAACCAUCAGACUAGAGUCCGGAAGAGGAGAGUGGAAUUCCUGGUGUAGCGGUGAAAUGCGCAGAUAUCAGGAAGAACACCCGUGGCGAAGGCGGCUCUCUAGUACGGUACUGACGCUGAGACGCGAAAGCGUGGGGAGCGAACAGG
rnacentral:rRNA from 1 species